GUUCUCUUCUCCCUCUUGGCUGCCCCUCCCCCUCCCUGAGCUUCGUUCUGCCGGAGGAUUCUUCCUGUUAAAAGGAAGUUCUUUCUUACCGCUGUUGCUCAUUGGGCAUUGGAGUGAACAUUGUUUUGCUGUUGGUGUUGGAUUGCAGACAUCCUGUUUAAGUGAUAAGCUUGCUCUUUCUUUGUUGUCAGACUCUGUGACAACUCCACAACACCAUAAAACAGAGAGCGAACCCCAACCAUCAGAUGAUGCCUUAUGAUGAAGCACUUGGUGAAAGUGGGGAGUGAGAACCUUAUUUCCACAGGAAGAGAACUCCAGGAGAAGCAGCCUCGGGGAGGGGCAGUCGUCUGCCACGAUCAGGCAUGAGGAAAGUUUUUCUUGGAGAUAAAAUAACCCAGGCGUGACUCUUGGCAGUCACCAGUGAACCAGUGCAUGUCACAUACUAGAAAAUGUUUCCUUUCAUGCAUUUAUUUUGUCUUUACAUUUUUUACAUUUAAAAGAUUUUUAUUUGCCAAGAUUUUUCAUUUAUCGCCCUGUUGUCAUACUACCGUGAACAUUUUUGCUUUUACAGACCAGAAUCGUCUUCUGCAACCAUGAUGCAACUGAGGUAAAACAUAUAAAGAGAGAAAUUAACAAAAUAAAACAAAACCUAUGUUUUUUUAGUAGGAUUGUCAUGGGUUUGAGUCACCCUUUCACUCAGCUCUAUAACAUUGGUGAUCAUUUGUAUGUGCAUGCUUUCCUUCGGCAUAUGUAGGAACAGAUUGGAGGGUCAGAGCUGAUGUCAGCACAUGGGGGUGGAGGAGUGGGGGGUGUCUGCCUCCUAAUUAGCCACAGACCAGAGGGAGCACUGAGGGGGCAAAGGUGAAGAGUUGAGCUGCAGGACACCGAGGCUGCAGCAAAGAGGAGGGUUAGCAACAUUCUCAUGCAGUUGCAUCACAUUCAUGUGAGCAGAGAUGUCAUUAGUGUUUGUGCGCCAUUGUCAGCUCUGAACAUGCAUCAUGUAUGUAUGAGAAUCAAAGAGCAGGUCCUCGUGCCCUGAUCUGAAUACUGCUGGCAGAUGUUAAAUAACUCUCACUGUCACACUGCUGCAAUCUCUUUGACAAGUGCAGACAGAUGUGCGUUCAGUUUCUCAUACAUGUGCAAAUGCAGAUUAUAGACUCUUUUUUUUUUUUUACAUUUAGAGAGUGCAUUUGCUGGAAAACACAAACCAGAGGAGCGCUCUGAAUUUAUUCAUUACCACCCCAACGUGACAAACUGGAGCAAAGCUGGACUAAUGAUGGGACAGAAUGCAAAUGUGGGGAAACUUAGUCUGCUGGGAGCAGCAGGCCUGAUCUAUGAGUUUGCAUGUGUUCUGCAGCCUAAUACAGCUCAGAUAAGUAGACACUUUCCUCGGGACGUAGCUGCAGCGCAAAGCACAUCAGGAAGGCAGCUCGUCCUCGGGUUUGUGCAUGUACACAUAAGUGAGUGAGCGAGUCGAGCCUGCCAAAUGUGAUUUAUUUAGACAAAUGCGAAAAUAUCAAUCCAGUGAUGAAUGAGCGGCUGGAUAAGCAAAACUCUUGAGAUUGCUCAUCAUCUUCAAAUUUAAGGCCGAGCACAGGUUCCAGCCCUUACGGAGAACAAAUAAUACAGCUGAUUCUCGUUGUGCUCUCAUCUGACAGGUGAAAUUGGACUUACACAAACUAUUCAGGGUUUUCAAUCCGACCGUCUCCGGGUAUUUGUUAGACUUUCAGGACUACUUGAGAGAUCAGCGUGCGCGUUUAGCGCUAAAUCCUAUAAUUGAACCGACUGCAGCAUAUCAAUACAGAGCAGUAAAAAAAAGAAAUGUUUGAGACUCACGUGCACAUAUGCAUUCGAUCUGCAGCCGAGUACGUGCUCACAGAGUCAGUCAAUAGUUUCUCUGGACCUUGACUUUUCAAAUGUGUUCAGAACUUAAGAGGGGAAGCAGGGAUUGAGCGGAGGCUUAGUAAAGCUCCACAGUCUGUUUUUGCUGCAGGUUCUCCUCCACAUGCUGCUUCAUAAAACAUUUUGGCAGACUGGACACAUAAUUGCACGCACUGUUUGAAACACUUUGUUUCCUCCACUUCUGUGUUAUUAAGUCUAACGAAAUCUCUCCUUUCCCCUCCACUUUCACUGUGACGUUUGGUGGUAUUAGAAGUGCAGUGUGUACAAAAAGACAAAACACACUUUUUUAUGUAGAGGAAAAAAAAGAAGCACUUAGCUGUCAAUUAUUUUUCUUCUCUUAAAUAUUACAGGCUGCUGCACAAAAGACACCAGCAGGAGCUUUUAAAACAGGGUUUGAGUUAGACAGCUGCUGAACACAGAGCUGCUGUAUAUGUCUGUUUGCACAUUUUUAAAGUACCACCAGAAAUUCUGAACUCACUACCAAGCGGUGUCAUACAUAGUAGAGAGAUGCUCAGUUUACAUUGUGGGCCACAUACAGCCGACUUUGAUGUGAAGUGGCCUGAACCCGAUCUGGUAGACUGUCCUUAAUUAUAGGUUUAGAAUAUAAAGUUUUCAUUAAUUCUUUUACCUUUUUGCAGUAUGGAUGGCAAUGGGGUGAUAAGAUGUAAAACUUACGAAAAUACAGUUCAAAGAUCUAAAUCUGUGCACUACUUCACAUUGGAUUGGAGUCUUUGCCGAGCCUGGCAGCACCAGACAAGCCCUAAAACCAACAUGCAAAGACAGGCAGGGCAAAUUUCAUCCUUCCAUCUGUAAUAUAACACUAGAUAACAAUGAAAUGUUUCAAAUCGACUUUGUAAAGAAACGUAAAAGCUUAGUGAGACCCCUUUAACCUCAUUCAAACUUAGCUGGUUAAAACAGUCGGCUCUAUUCAUCUUCCACACUCUUUAAUCCUCACCUCCUUCAUUUGUCUAUUAUUUGAUGUUGGCACACACACAUUUGAUAAUUUGUCUAAUCCUCAUUUCUCCCAUGCAAACAUUUCCAAUUUUGCUAAUGAUGAAAUGAUAAUGAGAUGGGCGUACCCAUGCAUAAAGAGAGCAGCGGUGCAGUCAUCAGCUGCUGCUAACUAACAUGAAUUCCCUGACUUGCGUAGCUUGACAGGCCAGAGUGAAACACUGAAAUCUGCACAAGCUGGUGGGGAAGCAGGCUUCAAAACAACACCUGCUGUCUGCACUUCAUUAGGAGGUGAAAGAGGCAUCGGCCCCGUGACACUGCUGUACAAUCAGAGUGGGCUGAGGGUUUCAUCAAUCAGCAGAGCUUUAUUUGUGUAGCAUCAGUCAUGCUCAAGUUAAUGCGGCUCAAAGCGCGCGGCUGCUGCUAUUACGACCAAAAAGAUGAAACGGGGAAAAGAAAAACAAUCAAAUAGGAUAAAUGAGUGAAUGAAAUAAUACAACGACUAUAAACUGAAUGCAAUCAGAGGUCGAGUCAUAGAGCCUGGUUUUCAGUCACGUUCAGCAUCCCAAUGCGCUCAGGUAAAGUUUGGGGUCAUAUCAGAUAAUAACACGGUGGCCCUGAGAACUGCGGUCAAGUGAGCCCUCACUCACGAAGUCACAGUCCAGCUAGCCGCACCGAAAAUGUGGUUGCACUACUCUUACGCAUAUUACGGUAUCGGUGCCGACUGGCUUAGAAACGCAGUCUUUUCUGCCCUGACACUGUUUUACUUCACAAUCCACUCCCAGUUUUGGUUUAUCUCCACUCCUCCCCCCGUGAUCCACAGCCCAAAUUACUGUAUGAUUCAGAGAAAAUUAACAAUGAAAUUUACCCAAUUUACUCUACUGUACUUUUAAUGUCCUCAUCUUUGAGCUCAGAUUACAGGAAAACUAGAAGAGGUACUGCAUAAGGUUAACGUUAAAGCUGGGGCAGAACAUUAGUUGUUCCCUACACAUUCAGUAAGUACUGCUUUAGAUCGACAUUCCAGACAUAUCCUCAUGACUGAAGACUGAGUAUACGUAAGUAAAAAAAUCUUUAUUAACCUUUGUAUUCCAAAACUUUAUCAUGUUUACAAAGUAAUAAAAGCUUAUUUAUUAUACUCCUCAGGUCAUUGAAAGUCUCCUGCACCACUGGGCCAUUCGGCUAAAUCUGGGGAAUAAUAUCUACAUUAUGAACCACUACACGAGCGGUGUGAUCCUCUAUGGAGAGAGAACUAAUCAGGAGACAAAGCUUGUCCAAGGUGAACUUUGACAACUACAGAGCCAUUUUAUCCUUUGUGAACAUUGGAAAUAUACACUGGAAGUUUCUGGUUAGUACGAGCACAUUAUUGAUAAUUUAUGUACUUUUUAAAUUUAUAUAUCUAUCGCAGUACAUAAAUGCAGAUGACAGCUGUCUGUAUUUGGUCGAUCCUUCAAGAAACUCUUUGGAGCAGGAAGAGUCUGACCGUGCAGCCAAAAGAUUCCGUGAAUACUUCAAAAUGAGGAGGACAUGCUACAACAAAACAGACUGGGUGAAUGUGAGACUUCGAGGAGGAGUACUGACACAUCCAUUUCAACGGGAUGGUUCUAGCUGCGGAGUAAUGGUCAUCGUGAUGGCCAAAGAAGUAAUGGAAGCAUUCCCAAAUAAACCAGAAAUGACAUUUUUGACGACAAAAAAAGAGAUGGCCCAGGCAUGAAGGACAUUUGCACAGACAAUACUUGAGGCCUCCGUAUUUGACAGUGACGACAACUGUGCCAUGUGUGCAACGGUGAAACCACCUAAUCCAGGACCCUCCAUCACUGACUGGAUCCAGUGUGAUAACUGCAACCGCUGGUUCCAUUCUGAAUGCCUGGACAUGACAAAUGAACAGCUCAGCAGUGCUCAGAAGACAGAGUGGAAGUGUGUGCUUUGUGUAACCUAAUUCCACAUGCAGUGAAAGCUACUUGAAUAAUCUGCUUAUAGUUGUUAUUGUUGUUUUGAGGAACACAUGUGUAAAACACAAUGUGUAUAACAUUCUUGCUUUGUGCACGUACUUCAAGUAUUUCCUUUUUGAUUUUUUGGGUUGAUUUGUGUGAUGACAGAUAAUGAAUAACAAUAUAUCUAAACUGUGUAGUAGUAAUAUGAGAAAUCAGUAAUCUGAGAAAUGUAAUUUCUCACCCUGACCGGUUGAGGCAGAUGGCCGCCCCUCCCUGAGCCUGGUUCUGCCGGAGGUUUCUUCCUGUUAAAAGGGAGUUUUUCCUUCCCACUGUUGCUCAUAGGGGGUCAUAUGAUUGUUGGGUUUUUCUCUGUAUGUAUUAUUGUAAGGUUUAACUUAUUAUGUAAGUGCCUUAAGGUGACUAUUGUUGUGAUUAAGCACUGAAUAAAUAAUGUCUAAAACUAAAGUUGCUACUUCAGGUGGUGUGUGAAUGACAUUUUGAAAAAUUUAAAUUGUGUGUGGAAAGAAAUUUCUUGUAGUUAAGCAAAUACUUCAAUGAACUCAUUUUGUUCGGUAAUGGAUUAGGAUUUAAUUUUACAGUAAUUUUGGCUGUGGAUGACAGGGUGCAGAGUGGAGAUGGCCUGGAUUCAGAAUCCAGUGAGAUAUCUGUGUCACCUCUUCUAGUUUUCCUGUAAUCUGAGCUCAAAGAUGAGGACAUUAAAAGUACAGUAGAGUAAAUUGGGUAAAUUUCAUUGUUAAUUUUCUCUGAAUCAUACAGUAAUUUGGGCUGUGGAUCACGGGGGGAGGAGUGGAGAUAAACCAAAACUGGGAGUGGAUUGUGAAGUAAAACAGUGUCAGGGCAGAAAAGACUGCGUUUCUAAGCCAGUCGGCACCGAUACCGUAAUAUGCGUAAGAGUAGUGCAACCACAUUUUCGGUGCGGCUAGCUGGACUGUGACUUCGUGAGUGAGGGCUCACUUGACCGCAGUUCUCAGGGCCACCGUGUUAUUAUCUGAUAUGACCCCAAACUUUACCUGAGCGCAUUGGGAUGCUGAACGUGACUGAAAACCAGCCUCUAUGACUCGACCUCUGAUUGCAUUCAGUUUAUAGUCGUUGUAUUAUUUCAUUCACUCAUUUAUCCUAUUUGAUUGUUUUUCUUUUUCCCCGUUUCAUCUUUUUGGUCGUAAUAGCAGCAGCCGCGCUGGAAGCGCGCAGUUACAGUUACAGCCGCGCCGUAAUAUGCGUAAGAGUAGUGCAACCACAUUUUAGGUGCGGCUAG